rnacentral:rRNA from 2 species
UGAGAUUUAAAGAGCCGCAGUAUCCUGACUGUGCUAAGGUAGCAUAAUCAUUAGUCUUUUAAUUGGAGACUGGUAUGAAUGGUUAAACGAGAAAUCAACUUUUUUUGUUGUAAAGCUUGAAUUUAACUUUUUAGUGAAAAGGCUAAAAUUUUUCAAAAAGACGAGAAGACCCUAUAGAGUUUUAUAAUCAAGGGAAUAUUUCUUUCUUAGAUUUUUAUGAGAGGUAUUUACUGUAGUUAUUUUGUUGGGGCGACAUUUAGAUAUAAAAAACUCUUUAUUUUAAAAACUUUUAUGAAAGGUAAAUUGAUCCUUUAAAAAAGAUCAUAAGAAAAAAUUACCUUAGGGAUAACAGCGUAAUCUUUUUUGAGAGUUCUAAUCGACAAAAAGGUUUGCGACCUCGAUGUUGGACUAAAAUUAAGGCAGGGUGCAGCAGUUCUGCUAUAAGGUCUGUUCGACCUAUAAUUUUUUACACGAUCUGAGUUCAGACCGGCGUAAGCCAGGUUG